GUCCUCUAGGCAAGAAAAAAAAAGAAGACAAGGGAAAGACAAAGGAAGGAAAUAGAAGGAAAGGACAAAGAAGGAAAGUCUACUCUGAAUCUUGACAUGUCAGCUUGAUUCUAGAAGUGUGUUUACCUGGAGGACUUACCCACAACUUUAACCUUGAUGCUUGCAUGUGCCUCUCCAGCUUCGUUUUUCAGAUUGAUGUGGUAAACACCAGAGUCAUCUCUUUCAGCUAUAUCAAUGACCAGAGUGCUGCUAUCAGGUCUUCAACAAACCAGAAGACUCGUUAGGAUCCAUAAUAACUGCCAGUGUAGAGGAGCCUCAGUUACUUUCGCUUUGAUCAUUAUCCCUGGGAGAAGAAGCCAACAGCUCCUGGUCACCACAAUAAGAGAUUUCAUUUUUACCUCUUACGAAGAGCUCAGUGGAACAUUUCUCAUCACCGGCUGUCACAUAAUACUCCGAAUCAUCUGUCAUCUGACAGUUAUUGAUAAACAGGAUUCUCUGGCAUCCUUUGUGUUCAAAGAUGUAUCUGUUUUGAAUAGGAUGAAAAUAAACAGAGUCUGUGAAUGUGA
rnacentral:antisense_RNA from 1 species